AUUGAACGCUAGCGGGAUGCCUUACACAUGCAAGUCGAACGGAGUGGCGAACGGGUGAGUAAUGUAUAGGAAUGUGCCUAGUAGUGGGGGAUAACUACGCGAAAGCGUAGCUAAUACCGCAUACUAUUGGAGCGGCCGCUUUCGGAUUAGCUAGUUGGUGGGGUAAAGGCCCACCAAGGCGACGAUCCGUAGCUGGUUGGAGAGGACGACCAGCCACACUGGAACUGAGACACGGUCCAGACUCCUACGGGAGGCAGCAGUGGGGAAUUUUGGACAAUGGGCGAAACCCUGAUCCAGCCAUGCCGCGUGUGUGAUGAAGGCCUUCGGAUUGUAAAGCACUUUUAGCAGGAAAGCGGUACCUGCAGAAUAAGCACCGGCUAACUCCGUGCCAGCAGCCGCGGUAAUAC
rnacentral:rRNA from 1 species